AACGAACGCUGGCUGCAGGCUUAACACAUGCAAGUCGAACGCCCCGCAAGGGGAGUGGCAGACGGGUGAGUAACGCGUGGGAAUCUACCCAGAUCUUCGGAACAACUGAGGGAAACUUCCGCUAAUACCGGAUACUCCCUACGGGGGAAAGAUUAAUCGGUUCUGGAUGAGCCCGCGUUGGAUUAGCUAGUUGGUGAGGUAACGGCUCACCAAGGCGACGAACCAUAGCUGGUCUGAGAGGAUGAUCAGCCACACUGGGACUGAGACACGGCCCAGACUCCUACGGGAGGCAGCAGUGGGGAAUAUUGGACAAUGGGCGAAAGCCUGAUCCAGCCAUGCCGCGUGAGUGAUGAAGGCCUUAGGGUUGUAAAGCUCUUUCAGUGGGGAAGAUAAUGACGGUACCCACAGAAGAAGCCCCGGCUAACUUCGUGCCAGCCGCCGCGGUAAUAC
rnacentral:rRNA from 1 species